AACGAACGCUGGCGGCAUGCCUAACACAUGCAAGUCGAACGAGACCUUCGGGUCUAGCGGCGCACGGGUGCGUAACGCGUGGGAAUCUGCCCUUGGGUUCGGAAUAACAGUUAGAAAUGACUGCUAAUACCGAAUGAUGCCAUCGGACCAAAGCGUUGUCGCACAGGGAUGAGGCCGCGUCGGAUUAGCUAGUUGGUGAGGUAAAGGCUCACCAAGGCGACGAUCCGUAGCUGGUCUGAGAGGAUGAUCAGCCACACUGGGACGGAGACACGGCCCAGACUCCUACGGGAGGCAGCAGAGGGGAAUAUUGGACAAUGGGCGAAAGCCUGAUCCAGCAAUGCCGCGUGAGUGAUGAAGGCCUUAGGGUUGUAAAGCUCUUUUACCCGGGAUGAUAAUGACAGUACCGGGAGAAUAAGCCCCGGCUAACUCCGUGCCAGCCGCCGCAGUAAUAC
rnacentral:rRNA from 1 species